rnacentral:rRNA from 1 species
CCUACGGGUGGCAGCAGUGGGGAAUAUUGCACAAUGGGCGCAAGCCUGAUGCAGCCAUGCCGCGUGUGUGAAGAAGGCCUUCGGGUUGUAAAGCACUUUCAGCGGGGAGGAAGGCGUUAAGGUUAAUAACCUUGGCGAUUGACGUUACCCGCAGAAGAAGCACCGGCUAACUCCGUGCCAGCAGCCGCGGUAAUACGGAGGGUGCAAGCGUUAAUCGGAAUUACUGGGCGUAAAGCGCACGCAGGCGGUCUGUCGAGUCGGAUGUGAAAUCCCCGGGCUCAACCUGGGAACUGCAUUCGAAACUGGCAGGCUAGAGUCUUGUAGAGGGGGGUAGAAUUCCAGGUGUAGCGGUGAAAUGCGUAGAGAUCUGGAGGAAUACCGGUGGCGAAGGCGGCCCCCUGGACAAAGACUGACGCUCAGGUGCGAAAGCGUGGGGAGCAAACAGGAUUAGAUACCCGUGUAGUC